UACGGAGGGUGCAAGCGUUGUCCGGAAUCACUGGGCGUAAAGAGCUUGUAGGCGGUUUGUCGCGUCUGCUGUGAAAUUUCGGGGCUCAACCCCGAACUUGCAGUGGGUACGGGCAGACUAGAGUGUGGUAGGGGAGACUGGAAUUCCUGGUGUAGCGGUGAAAUGCGCAGAUAUCAGGAGGAACACCGAUGGCGAAGGCAGGUCUCUGGGCCAUAACUGACGCUGAGAAGCGAAAGCAUGGGGAGCGAACAGG
rnacentral:rRNA from 1 species